AGAGUUUGAUCAUGGCUCAGAAUCAACGCUGGCGGCGUGCCUAACACAUGCAAGUCGCACGAGAAAGUGGAGCAAUCCAUGAGUACAGUGGCGCACGGGUGAGUAACACGUGAAUGAUCUACCUCCGAGUGGGGAAUAACUUAGGGAAACCUGAGCUAAUACCGCAUAACACUUACGAGUCAAAGCAGCAAUGCGCUUGGAGAGGAGUUCGCGGCAGAUUAGCUAGUUGGCGGGGUAAUGGCCCACCAAGGCGAUGAUCUGUAUCCGGCCUGAGAGGGCGCACGGACACACUGGAACUGAAACACGGUCCAGACUCCUACGGGAGGCAGCAGUGGGGAAUUUUGCGCAAUGGGGGAAACCCUGACGCAGCAACGCCGCGUGGAGGAUGAAAUCCCUUGGGAUGUAAACUCCUUUCGACCGGGAAGAUUAUGACGGUACCGGAAGAAGAAGCCCCGGCUAACUUCGUGCCAGCAGCCGCGGUAAUACGAGGGGGGCAAGCGUUGUUCGGAAUUAUUGGGCGUAAAGGGUGCGUAGGCGGUUUGAUAAGUCUUAUGUGAAAUCUCUGGGCUCAACCCAGAGUCUGCAUAGGAAACUGUCGGGCUUGAGUAUGGGAGAGGUGAGUGGAAUUUCCGGUGUAGCGGUGAAAUGCGUAGAUAUCGGAAGGAACACCUGUGGCGAAAGCGGCUCACUGGACCAUUACUGACGCUGAUGCACGAAAGCUAGGGGAGCAAACAGGAUUAGAUACCCUAGUAGUCC
rnacentral:rRNA from 1 species